GUGUGUUUACCGCCCUUCAUGAAACUCUGAGUCGGAAAAACGCUAUUUUCCUUGCCGUUAACAUGAACCGGAGGCUACUCGGCGUUAUGUCAUAGAAUAAUGCUUGUCGGUAACUGAGAGUCUGCGCUGCAAAAUCUUUCCUAUUUUAUUUUUAGCUACUUUCAACUGAAAUGAAUACACUUACUUUAGUUGUUGGAAUAGGAGGGGUGACCAAUGGCGGGAAGUCUACGUUGGCUACCAAUCUACAGAAGAAGCUGCCACACAGUUGCAUCAUUGCACAGGACACAUUUUUUAAAGAUGACUCCGUGGUACCUGUCGACAGUAAUGGAUUCAAACAAUAUGACCUGCUGGAUGCUCUGCACAUGGACAAGAUGAUGGAGGAGAUCUACUCGUGGUGGCGGGACCCACAGUCCUACCACCAGUCAACAUGUGCCACAACGGAAGCUGGCCGCACGGAGGUCUUUGUGGUGAUCGUAGAGGGCUUCCUCAUAUUCAACCACAGGCCUUUGAAUGAAUUAAUGAACAAAAAAUACUUCCUGGAAAUCCCUUAUGAUGAAUGUCAGAAUAGGAGAUGUUCAAGAGUGUACACGCCCCCAGAUCCGCCGGGGUAUUUUGACGGACACGUUUGGCCGAUGUACCUGAAGAAUCGUCAGGAGAUGCAGCUGCAAGGGAUCGGUAAUUAAAGUUACAUUUUUCUGGAUGGAUUGAAGUCAGAAGCUGAGCUACUAGGAUAUGUAUAUGAUGAUAUAACUACGGAAAUCAAAAACCUCAGGGGAAAGACUGAAAUUAAUUCAGUCAAUUUGUAAGGAUCAAAGCAGAUGUCAUGGAAGUUUGUCAAUUCUCCCUGCUGGACCAAAUGUUUUUCAUUGCAAAGACUGUUAUUUUGGUAUUGAGGUUUAAGCCCUUUUUCACUUUUAUACGUGGUGCUUGGUUCAUUGAACGUUUGAGCAUUAAUAUGCAAGUUAUUAAGCCAAUAGGACACCCAAUAUGCUACUUAAACCACUCUGUAUUUUCAUGUCUGUUAUGUAUUGACAAAUUCUGUGUAAUGUUUAUGUACUGGUAUUUUUUAUUCCAUACUAUACUGAUAAAAUAAUUAUUGUGGUACUUGUUACAACAUUGGUACAUACAGUACCAAUGUUUUUAUCUUUUAAGCUAUCCGUCUUAAUCAUUAAUUAAAAUGUGAAAAAUCAAUUUGAAAAGUGGACUAAAUAAAUAUUAGGAUUUCCAUACUUCCAGGGAUGUACAAGUGUGGGACUGGGUGUGGAUAAUGGGUGGUUUGGGCAGCACCUACCUGGCUGAGUCUGAUUGGACUCUUGGUCUGGGUGACGCUGCACAACUGUUGCACAUUGAGUAUCAGUGUGCACAGGUUAAACCAGCCAUAUCCACACACACACUUCUCCUAGAUGGCAACAUGUAACACCAGGACAUGUAUAAUUUCGUGCAAACUAAUAAAAUAAAAACGGAUUCAACAUCA